GCAAGGCUCGAACAAUCGUAUCUCCUCUUCCCAAAUUGUCCACUUUUGAACGCGAAUUAGGGAGACAUUAUUGUAUCUAGCUGAAUAUCUGCCAAUCGAACGGAGAAAAGCAGGGACAUGGUCAAAUGCUUUCAGAACUUCGAUGUCGAACAUUAUUUAGCGAAAUUUUCGAUCGAUCAAUUUUUACAAAGUUAAUUGUUUAUUCGAAAUUCUGUCGUAUCGACGGCAAAAGCACCGCGUGCUAACGGCAUCUGCGGCGACGAAGCGACUCGCCAAACCCGCGGAGGAUAAGGUAGUUUCGAUUCGCUUCAAUCCGCCAGUAGAAACGGUUACACAACUCGGACAGAUGAUUUUAAUCGAGAUCGCACAAUAGGUUCGCGAUCACGUGACGCGAGGAGCAUGUAAGGACACUCGCGCGCGAUUGCCGAGCGAUCUUACACCGCGCGGAGCCUGUCUCGUGGUCGAAUUUGCUGAACGCGUUUUUCCAGUGACCGAAUUUCGAUAUUUAAUGAAAGAACCUCUGCGGACAAUUUUUAGAUUCUCGUUGAUAAGGAAUAUGCACGGAUCGCGUCGAUUAUCGAGCAGCUAAAUUAAAAAUACUCCGCCAUUGUUCCGGGCCUCCAGUCGCCGUUCUCGACCGAGUCUCCGUUAAUAAGCUUGAUCUCUAACGCUAAGCUCGACGAUGUCAGGAAAUCCGAAGUUCUGAAGGCAGUUACUGGACCUUGUCGGAGCCGGGGCCGCAGAUCAGGCGAAGACAUCUUGGAACCUGUGCGAACCUGUGCCGGUUAUGCGAAGGAGAAAUUUCGAGGGCCGUAAUCAUUAUUGAAUAUCGCAUUCGACCAAACAUGUACGCGCGAAUGAUUCUGCUUCGAACGAGAGCAACGUCGCGCGUGGGACGUUUUCUAAGGCGAGAAUAGCCGAAGGAUAAGAACAGCGAUAAAGAGCGUAAAAUAACGACAGAAAGAGAGUGAGAGAGAAUGAGAGAGCGCGAGCGAGCGAACGAGAGAGAGAAAGAGUGAGAGAGAAUGCAAGAGCGAGAGAGAGAGAGAGAUUUUCUACGAAGUUUAACGUCUGUAUUGGACAAUAAUGAGGGAGCAGAGAAAGAAAGAAAGCGAGAGAGAGAGAGAGAGAGAGAAAGAGAGAGAAAGUAAGAGAGAAAGAGAGAGAGAGAAAGCGCGAGAAAGAAACGAGGAAAUUUGGUGAAUAAUGAAAGAAGAGCGUUCGAGACUUGUGAUUGCUCGAAAUUCCUACGAGUUAUAUUUGUACAUUUACUUUAACGAGAAACAUUUAAUAUAUUUCACGGAUCGGUGGACUAAUAGCGCAUGCGACUGAAGUAUACCAAUUUUAAGAGUCUUACGCUUAAAGUAUAGCAAAUGCUACCGAUCUCGGACCAGCCGAACCGUGUGUGGUGGUUCCCCGGAUAAAUGGCGGCUCGAGCAGUUCCGGUCGGCUUGGACCCGCUCCGGGAACAGCUGGAACAGCAUUUGUUUCAUCACGACUCAACCUACCUAAAUAACUGUAAACUGCGUAAUAAAUAUAAUUAUUAUUGUUCCUUCUCGAUACCCACGGCGUGGUCAUUUCACUACCUGCAAUUCCUGGCCAAAAUGGCGGACUGCGAGCACGCGAAUUCAAAGAACGCGAGAGACAACGAUUAUUGCGAUUAUUGCCCAACGAUCGCUGCCGAGUCAAUCGUCAAAAUUUUCUCUUACAGCGGCCGGAAAUUCGGUAGGAUAAUUCAUGGCAAAUGGAACGCUUUGCAGCCCGUUGAUCGCAGUUCUCCGGUAAACGGAGGUCUUGGAAAUCGAUUGGAAAGAAAUUGGUAAUCGCCGUCACCCACGAUGUCAAAGUUUUUCAGAUUUUUCGUAUCGGUACUCGAUGACGAUACUUGCUCGAGCGAACUGGAAUCUUUGACGAUCGUUCGAAGCUCCGACAAGUGUAAAGCACACUGUAAAUUAAACCGAGAAUAAACGAGGGCGGAGAGGGAGGAGAACGAAACACUGCAUGAUUAGAAAUAUUAUUAAUUAUACAGGCUUAGAUACGUCGACCCUAGGUACUAGUGUAAAAACGAAAUGUCUAUGUUUAUAUAAUGUAAUAAAUUCUCGGAGUAUCGACGUUAUUAAAUAAAUAUACGCAAAUUUUA